GAGUUUGAUCUUGGCUCAGAUUGAACGCUGGCGGCAUGCCUUACACAUGCAAGUCGAACGGUAACAGGUCUUUCGGGAUGCUGACGAGUGGCGAACGGGUGAGUAAUACAUCGGAACGUGCCUAGUAGUGGGGGAUAACUACUCGAAAGAGUGGCUAAUACCGCAUGAGAUCUAUGGAUGAAAGCAGAGGACCUUCGGGCCUUGUGCUACUAGAGCGGCCGAUGGCAGAUUAGGUAGUUGGUGGGAUAAAAGCUUACCAAGCCUACGAUCUGUAGCUGGUCUGAGAGGACGAUCAGCCACACUGGGACUGAGACACGGCCCAGACUCCUACGGGAGGCAGCAGUGGGGAAUUUUGGACAAUGGGCGCAAGCCUGAUCCAGCAAUGCCGCGUGCA
rnacentral:rRNA from 1 species